rnacentral:rRNA from 1 species
GAUGAACGCUGGCGGCGUGCCUAAUACAUGCAAGUCGAGCGAACGGACGAGAAGCUUGCUUUUCUGAUGUUAGCGGCGGACGGGUGAGUAACACGUGGAUAACCUACCUAUAAGACUGGGAUAACUUCGGGAAACCGGAGCUAAUACCGGAUAAUAUUUUGAACCGCAUGGUUCAAAAGUGAAAAACGGUCUUGCUGUCACUUAUAGAUGGAUCCGCGCUGCAUUAGCUAGUUGGUAAGGUAACGGCUUACCAAGGCAACGAUGCAUAGCCGACCUGAGAGGGUGAUCGGCCACACUGGAACUGAGACACGGUCCAGACUCCUACGGGAGGCAGCAGUAGGGAAUCUUCCGCAAAGGGCGAAAGCCUGACGGAGCAACGCCGCGUGAGUGAUGAAGGUCUUCGGAUCGUAAAACUCUGUUAUUAGGGAAGAACAUAUGUGUAAGUAACUGCGCACAUCUUGACGGUACCUAAUCAGAAAGCCACGGCUAACUACGUG